GCCAGCAGCCAUCUCACCCUGCAGCUCCCAGCUGGCAGCCCCACUGGAGCUCAGCAGGUGUGAGCCUGGUCAGUACCUGGAGGGGAGACUCCUGGGAAAACUAAGGUUGCUGCUGGAA
rnacentral:rRNA from 1 species